CCGUUUCCAAACGGCAUCAGCUUAUAAGCAUAGUACUCGCUGCCGCAUCCGUUGUCAAACCGAUCGGGGUUAAACCGCUCCGGUUCGUCCCAGAACUCUGAAUCUCUCUGUAUAGCCCAAGCGUUAACCAGCACCGUCGUGUCGCGCGGUACGUCGUAACCGCCUAUCUUCAUGUCCUCCGUUUUUUUUUUUUGGUAAAAUAAAACUGUUUUGGGUAAACAUUUUAUAGUGACUAGACUCCACCGCAAGCGGUGCCCCAAAUCCAGGAAAAUCCCUUAGGAUUUUUUUGGAGAGUCAUAGUACCACCGCGCCGACAGAGAGUCGAACCUGCGACCUCUGGCAGUCGUCUGUGAAGCUAUCAUGUCC
rnacentral:lncRNA from 1 species